rnacentral:rRNA from 1 species
UACGUAGGGUGCAAGCGUUAAUCGGAAUUACUGGGCGUAAAGCGUGCGCAGGCGGUUGUGCAAGACCGAUGUGAAAUCCCCGGGCUUAACCUGGGAAUGGCAUUGGUGACUGCACGGCUAGAGUGUGUCAGAGGGGGGUAGAAUUCCACGUGUGAGCAGUGAAAUGCGUAGAGAUGUGGAGGAAUACCGAUGGCGAAGGCAGCCCCCUGGGAUAACACUGACGCUCAUGCACGAAAGCGUGGGGAGCAAACAGG